AGUUAAUAAUAGAUAUAUGUCCAUAAGUCAUCAUUACAAAACAUAGAUCAAGCAAGUGAAAAACAUCCAUCCAAUCCACAAAAACCAACAUGAAAUCCUUGUCUACCUUAAUCAUUGCUAUGAUCUUGACCAUAACAUUGAUCCUUUCACUUGAGGUGAAUAUAGCCAAAGCUAGAACUUACCCAUCUUCAUCCCUAUUUUCAAAAAUGUAUCCAUCAUUCAAAUCUCUCUCACAUAAACAAGGUUCAAAAUCAAAUGAAGAGCAUGAAGCAGUUGCUAGCCUUAGAGGAAUACCACCUAGCAGACCAAAUCCAACACAGAACAAGUUAAAGCCUAAAAUAAAAGACUGAGCUGAGAAAUUUGUAGUGGUGGCACAUGGAGCUCUGUAGAUUUAGAUUUGUAGCAUUAACUCUGUUUCUCUAGUUUUUUUGUUUUGCUUUUUUUGUCUUAGCUUUAAAUUCUUAGUUUAGUUAGUCAUAGUGAUAAAUAUAUUGAGUUUAAUUAGAUUGCAAUUUAUGUUGUCUUAGUUUGAUGUUUUAGAUUAUAGAGAGUAUAGGAGACUAUGAGUGUAAAGGAGAAAAAUAGUAGCCAUCAAAUUGUGAAACCCAAAACUGUUAAUUUUUAGCAGAUUGAAUUUUGUUUUGUUUUA